ensembl:lncRNA
AGCGAGAGCUUUGGGGUUUGUUUUCACUGCCAGCUAUUGGAAACCUCUUGAAAAUCAGGGGAAACUUUUUAACCCCAGCCCCUAGUCAUGACCUUCAGAACAAAUUCUGGACAAAAGGGACACUUCAGGGGAAGGAGGGGUAUCCCUGGGAGCCUCCACCUUUUAGGAGAAAAGCAGGGUUCUGAGCUUGCCCCCUGCCCCAUUGGUCUUCCAUCCUCACACAAAGUCACACAGUUUGCUAUCAGCUAUGAGAACUCAGAGUGAAAGAGUCUAGAGUCUUUGUUUUCCUAUAAAUCCAGUAGAAACCAGCAGGGGGGUUCAGAUGCUUUAUUGGGUGGUAUUAACAGACACACAGAGUCCAAGUCCUGGAACAAGACAUUGUUAUGGCCUGAGACCUGCUCAGGAUAUUAGGGAGCUGGGUUUGAUUCUGGAACCCACAUUUCAGAGGCGCCCUGGCUAGGGUGAGACUAUGCAUUAGGAGAUGAUUUUAAAACAAGAACUGCGAAAAUUUUCUGUCGUCUUCCAGGGAAAUUGUAAUAGGACUCGUUGCAUUUAAUAACAUAUGAGUAAGUUUCCUUCCAGCUGUCAGAGUCGGUGGCUUCUAGAAGUCUACGGAUGAAGACAAACUCCUGAUUGUCCCGUGUGCUUAUUUUAAUUGCCUUCAGCCUUGGGCUCACUGGUCAUGUGAGUUUCCUGUACAGGGUUUAACAGCCCCUGAGGGUUUAUGGGAAAAUGAGGAUCCUGAAGGCUGUUCCGAUGUUUUCCAAAGGAAGGGCAUCCACGCUGCUCCCUGGAUUCAUCUCCUAUGCACCUGCAGCGAGGGGAGAGGGCAGGGCGUGGCUGGGGGCUAGCAAUCCUCCCUUGGCGAACCCCAAAGAGGCACUUAGCAAAGAAAGCAAAAGAGCCAGUACCCGUUCCCGCAGGGACCCUGCGUGGCGGUGGAUUUCGUGCCAGCCUCUUUUGCUCAACUGUUCACAACUAGAGAGAAAUGUGGGUGACCAGGGAAAAAAGCAAUGGCUAAAUCCCAAAGUUGGCAUGUGUUCUUUUUGAAAAUACAUAUAUAUUUUUAAAUAAAAUGUUUAUUUUAGAACAAGGUGGAAGCUUUUUUCUUGACUCAGCAAUGGAGCAGGCAUUGUGCUGUGUGUUCUUUCGCUGCAUCCUCACAGUGGCACCUUGAAGCUGGGCUAAGAUUAUCCCCAGGGUACAAGGAAGAAACUGAGUUGGGAAAGGCUCAGUCAAUUCCUGAAGGUUACCCACCUAGAAACGGGCAGAGCCAGGCAUCCCACUUGACUUUUCUGCGAUGCCCCUGAAUUUAAACGCUACCCCCCACCCCCACCCCGCCACUCACCCACACUUACCACUGAUGCAACUAAUUAGAUGAGGACUUUGGUGGAGAAAAGGCAGACUCUGCAGUUACUUAAAUGCUAUUAAAAUACACACGGCUUAGCCAAUGUUUUCACCAGUUGAGCAACUAAGCAGACAGAAUGGUGAUGUAGAAUAAACUGGGUAUCAAGAUGAUCUAAAGAUCUGUAUAGACUCCCCAAAGAAGACCGAGCUUUUACCUGCUUUCCUAAGUGGAUUCCAGACCGUCCUUUUCUCAUCCGUGAGUAUAUACGCCACGUGGAGGAGUUGAGAUGCGAAAGCGCCCUGCAGUGGUGCCCUCAGCUCUAGUUUAGAGGUGAUCUGCCCUCCCUGCUGUGGCUGCAUUUUCUGGUGGGUUCUCCCUGCAUAGAAGCAAGAAGGUCCCAGGUUGGAGUUCCCCUGUGGCUCAGCAGGUUAAGAAUAUGACAUAGUCUCUGUGAGGAUGCGGGUUGGAUCCCUGGCCUCACUCAGGGGGUUCAGGAUCCAGGGUUGCCACGAGCUGCAGCAUGGGUUGCAGAUGCAGCUUGGUUCUGGUGUUGCCAUGGCUGAGGUGUAGGCCGGCAGCUGCAGCUCCAAAUCGAUCCCUAGCCUGGGAACUGCCAUAUGCUGCAGGUGCAGCCAUAAUAUGAAAAAAAGAAGAAGCCCCGGGUGGUCUCCUGCCAGAUUAGUAAUUCCAGGAAAAAGAGAAUUUCUCACUCCUAAGAGUGGCAGCAGAAAUCUGACAGCUGCCUGCCAGGAGUUGCAUGCCUGGACCUAUCUCUGUGGCUGUGAGAAUGAGACACAAGUUCACUCCCAGGGCUGGGACCCCCUGCUGAGCCCUGAGCUGUGGUGUGGAAUCCUGUGAGUCGUAUGGAUGGAUGUGACUGAAGGUGAGGUUUCCUAAGGGAAGUUCGGCAUGCUGUUACCAGGAGGAAGCAUGGAGACUGAAAGGGCACGAAGGGUGGCUGGCCUCUGCACAAUCCCUUCUUGCAAGAUGUUUGCCCUGUGGUGGAGGAGACGCACGAGUAAGAAAGGACAACACAGCCUGGCACCGUACGCAGCUGGGAGCAAGUGCAUCCCGCUCCCUUGUGGUAGGUGCUAGAGAAAGGGCAGCGAGGAAGAGCAGGAGGCAGAAGGGAGAGCUCAUCAGGAGACAGAAGGAUGCCCAGGUAGAGCUGGAUACUUGGCUGGGGACCGCCCCUCUGCAUGUCAGUGGGACGUCCCAUUAACAACAUUAGGAGCCUGCCAGCGGAAGCAGAGAAGGCAGGGGUGGCUUGAGCCAAGUUUGGGAUGUGGUAGGUAUGGGGGGGAAAGUAAGAGAACAGAACCUGGUAGUGGAGGAGAUAAUGAAAGAGGAGGUAAAAUCAUGAACCACGUAGUAUACAAGGUGUUACUCUAGGAAAAUAAGGGAAGCUCGGAGACAGAAAGUGAUGGGAUCCAAGGACUAGAAGUCGAACGACUAUUGAUGCAAUACCGCAUUUUAAUUUGAGUACAGUUGAUAUACAUUGUUGCAUCAUUUCUGCCAGACACCAUAGUGACCCAGUCUCUCUCUCUCUCUCUCUCUCUCUCUCUCUCUCUCACACCCACAGACACACACACAUUCUUUUUAUCGUAUUAUCUUCCGUCAUGGUCUGUCUAUCCCAAGAAACAACGCAGCUCCCUGUGCUGUAGAGCGGGACCUCAUUGCUUAUCCAUCCUAAAUACCGUAGUUUGCAUCUACGAACCCCAAACUCCCCCAUCCACCCCACUUCCUCCCCCCCAACCCCCAAGUCUGUUCUCUCUGUCCAUGAAUCUGUUUGCAAUACCAUAUUAGUCAGGAUUCUCCAGAGAAACAGAAUCCAUUGGAUAUAUUUAGCUAUAGGUAGAUAUAGAUUAAGACAUGGAGAUAGAAACAGACAUACAGGUGUCGAGGUCUCUAUGGAUCUAGAUGUCUCUAUAAAAUAAAGAUAUAUCUGUUACGAUAUAUAGAGCAGUACCCAUGUAACUAUAGAGACAGGUCUGUAUAUCUCUCUAUAGAGAGUCUAUAUAGACAGAUCUGUAUAGCUCUCUAUAGAGUCUAUAUAGAUACAGAACUACAGAGUUUUGUUAUGGAAAUUGGCUCACAUGACUAUGUGGGCUGAGAUAUAUCACAACCCUCUGUCUGCAAAGUGGAGCAGCAGGACAGCCAGUGGUAGAGUUCAGUCCAGGGCCGAAGGUCUGAGAACUCGCAUAGCCCGUGGUGUAAAUCCUGCAGUUGGAAAGAGGCGCUCUGGAGGAGGAGGGCGGGAGGAGACGGAUGGCUUAGCUCGGGAGGACCAAGAGAAUCCUCCUCCUCCACUUCUUUGAUCCGUUCAAGCCUUAGUGGAUGGAACGAUGCCACCUACAUUAAUGACAAUGGAUCGCCUUCACUCCCUCUACGGAGUCCAAUCUCUUCUGAAAAUUAAAAUUUCAUGCUUUUUUUUUUUCCGGGUUAUUGGAGUAAUUUUAGGUGUACUGAGCAGGCUUCCUUCCAUCGGAUUAAAUUUUCGGACUCUCCACCACGUCUCUCGGUUCAUUUCUCUCCUGCUGGACUUUUCAAUAGUAUGUGGCUUUUUAACCUGUAUUUUUCAUUCAAUAAAUUUUAUUAUAGUUGUGCAACC